UUGUUCUUUUAGCAGACUCAGUUAGUGUUUAACUCCACAGCAGCAGAAACACAGCAGAGGUAACCAAAACAUGAGGAAUCCUGUAGCUAAAGUUCAGACAAUCACUACAGGGGAAACCUUUGGAGCAGAUGUGGAUCUGAUGAACCAAGUCAUCCAAAAGGAUACAAGUCGGGAUGCACAACACAUCAUCCUUUUCUGUCCAAUCACAUCUCGUGUUGGCUCAGAUGUGCAGGCAGCCCUGGAAAAAGUCCCAUAUGGUCGAAGAAUCAUCCUGGUUUUGAUGCACCACACCCGAGAUGCUGACUACUCAACGGCUGGGAUAAAGUGGUCAGAAUGCACUGAAAACGUUGUCCUGGAUGUUCACGUUUUCUUCCAUGAAAGUGUCCCAGGAUUACUGAGCUGUGCACAAAAUCACAAGGCAGUGUUGGAAAUAAGACAUUUUUUAGAAGGACACAAAAAGAAUUCAGAUCAGAAUUGGGCUUUGGUUGGGUAUGGCUAUUGGCUAUUGUGUUGUGUUUUUUCAUGGGUAUUGUCUGAUGACAGGUUUUGGAUGAGGCUCUGGAACUGGUUCUGGCAUCUAGACAGGCUUUGGGUGAGGCUUGUGAUUUGGUUUGGUACUCAGCUUUCUCGUUUGAUUUCAGUUUUGCUGUUCUAUGUAAGAAAACCAAAAGUUAUUAAAGACAGACUUCCUUAAUACCAUCAUUAAUUCUACAACUUGUUUGUAAAUACGAGUUGUUUAAUGUCUCUUACACACAGAGUCAUUACAAAAUUGUCUAUAUGAACACAGGCACAGUUAUAGGCAGAGACUAGAGAACAGCUCAGCCAGAGUUACUAUAUUUGUAGUCACAGAUACUUAUCUUACUUGCUUCAUAGGCUCCAAAGGCAUUUAUUAUGACAUUACAUUGAAAUAAAAAUAUCUUACUCUGCAAAAAAGUAUCUUGCAAUUGUUAGACUAUGUCAAAAUAAAGUGUUUAUGAUUGUGAUGCUGGUAUAAUAAACUGUCUAUUUAGUUGCUUUUUACUGAAGGUCAACUAGACCCUUUGAAUGAAUGAAUUCUCGUGACUCUUCUUAAUGCAUGUUGUAACCUCGAAUUAGACCUCUGCCUAUAACUAUUGCAACAUGAUAUUUGGGAACUGUUUACUCUGAAAAAUGAUCAAUAAAGUUUGAAAGAACAAUAGAAUAUUAUCAGCCUUGGUGUGAUAAUGUCAUAGACAUAAUGCGGGUUUAUGUUUAGCUCUUUUGUGUGCUGCAGUACUCAGUCAGUGCAAAGAGAUCUAAUGAAAAUGAUGGAAUGACGCGUGAAUAAGAGAAAACAUCAAAACUUGAUUAAAUUCACCCAAAAAAUUGAGAGAAAUUGUGUUGAGGAACCAAACUUGAAUUUUUAGCUAUAAUCUGAAAAGUUAGCCCAUCACCAAGAUAACACCAUAUUCACAGGUAAAUAUGGAGGUAAUAG